UUUAUUUUUUAGCGGGUCAUGGCGCUACAAUAUUUACCGACUAAAUAAUUAACAGGACCCUUGUGCUUAAUUAUAUUACCUUUCUCUUCUGUUUCUAAGGAAUAACUCUUAGGUGCUACGAAGAUACCUUUCUUCACAAAGUGUUCCGCAAAGAUUGAAAGCAUGGCCUUUCUUUCUCUGAUUAAUUUCCUGUUCAAAGACCUAAGAACGGAUCGGAGAAGGUUACCAAGUUGAGUAGAGGAAUGUGUUGAAGGGAGCAAAAGUACUGAAUAUAUGAACGGAGCUUAUACCAGAUCGUGAAGAGCUAGACGUUCUUCAAGGAGAAGGACACCAUGAGGAGACGUAGUCGGUGGUAUUGGUGCUUCUUAUCUUAAAAAUCAAUAUUUGGUGUUAUUCCAAUGCCACCAAAGAGGAAGCCACCACCCCAACACCUCUGAAUGGUCUUAUCACGCAGGCGUUCACUCAAACUAGCACGCAACCUUCACCUACCGUCUAGUCUACACCAGUCACUUUGCCAAUGGAGACAUGUAGUUCUAUAAUUGUUAUUUAAUUCUUACUUCAACUUUUUUUUUAUUGACGUAUAUUGUUUUAACACUUGCAACACCCCCAAUUGAGCAUGAGCGACGUGGUCGUACUCGUGGCUUAGGCACACCCCAGAUAGUCAAGGCGACUCAUAGGAAGCUGGAAAUCAUGUAUGAAGAUAGCGAUGGACGACCAAUUGGUCCUAAUGCUCGUCAAUUCGUAUCUGAAAUAUGAUGUAGUGUGAGAAUAUUUGUGCCUUUCCAAAAGAUCUUUUGGAAAGAUGUGACUGAAUUUGAAAAAUCUCCUAUUUAUGACAAAGUGGAGGCUAUUUUUGAUGUACAAUAUGAUAAAUAUGCAACUCUUAAAGAGUUCAUGGAGAAAUCAAUGGCCACUUCCUUUAAGGAGUUUCGAUAUGAGCUGCACAUACAUUACAAGAAGUUUCUAGACCAACCAAUGGCUCAUGGGAAAGCUAAUAAGCCUAAAGAAAUCCGAUAUCAGGUUGACUAGGAUUAUUUGUGUGACUAUUGGGAAAAAAAGAUCCAAGGUGGCAGUUGACAACAGAUCCUGACAAUAAUUUACCCAUUUUUCUGGUUCUAGAUAAUAUAUUCAAUGUCAGGCUAUGGAGGAUAAGGGAACUGGACGACUAGACAGAAUUAAACUAUGGAAGAACACACAUUACAAGGAUACAAAAGGCUGGAUACAUCCUGUGGCUGAGGAGAAAUAUAAAGAGAUGGUAGACAUACAAACAACACAACAGGCACAUGUUGUGGGAGAGGAGAGUGAGAGCCAAGGAGUAUAGCUCGCUGCUAAUGACAUUGCGACUUAGGUGCUUGGAACUACUUCUUGCUACUAUAGGGGUUUGGGUAAGGGUUCAAAGAUUCCACGUGCUACAUCUCGUGCAGACACGACUCAAAGAGAGAAUGCCAAGCUUUGUCAAGUCGUGCAUAAUUUGCAAAGCCAAAAUGAGCGUAUUCUCGCCUUGUUAAAAGAGAUUAUACCAGGUGCCACAACUAGAAUAGACAGCCCUAGAGUUCCUACUACUCCUCAUUCGUCAUCGUCACCAUCAUCACCUGAUCACGAGUCACUUGAUGAUCAUUAGUUUAAAGCUCUUUUAUUCCAUUUACAUGGUUUUAUAUUUUGAUGGUUAAUACUCCAUUAUUACAUAUGCUAUUAUUUUGGAUUAUGCUAGUCUUCUUUUAUUUUGGAAUUUGACUAGACUUUUUAUUUUGAAAUCUGGGCUGUACAUGUUUACGUAGUUACUUAUUCUGAAAUUGGAAUUGAUUGGUAAAGA